rnacentral:rRNA from 1 species
AUGAACGCUAGCGGCAGGCCUAAUACAUGCAAGUCGAACGGUAACAUUGGUGCUUGCACCAGAUGACGAGUGGCGCACGGGUGCGUAACGCGUAUGCAAUCUACCUUUUACUAGAGUAUAGCCCAGAGAAAUUUGGAUUAAUCCUCUAUAAUAUCUUUUAAUUUCAUGAUUUUAAGAUUAAAGUUUUAACGGUAAAGAUGAGCAUGCGUCCUAUUAGUUUGUAGGUGAGGUAACGGCUCACCUAGACUACGAUAGGUAGGGCCCUGAGAGGGGGAUCCCCCACACUGGUACUGAGACACGGACCAGACUCCUACGGGAGGCAGCAGUAAGGAUAUUGG